rnacentral:tRNA from 1 species
GGAUGCGUAGUUCAACGUUUAGAACUUUCGGCUCCAGCCCGAAGAACGGGGGUUAAACUCCCCCCGCGUCCA